GCGCGAUUAGCUCAGUGGGAGAGCACUACCUCGACACGGUAGGGGUCACAAGUUCAAGUCUUGUAUCGCGCACCA
rnacentral:tRNA from 1 species